CUGCUACAGAGGUUACAA
rnacentral:snRNA from 1 species